rnacentral:rRNA from 1 species
UUGCCUACGGGGCGCAGCAGUGAGGAAUAUUGGUCAAUGGGCGGAAGCCUGAACCAGCCAAGUCGCGUGAGGGAAUAAGGCCCUACGGGUCGUAAACCUCUUUUGCCGGGGAGCAAGGGCGGGGACGUGUCCCGGCCCGAAGAGUACCCGGAGAAAAAGCAUCGGCUAACUACGUGCCAGCAGCCGCGGUAAUACGUAGGUGGCGAGCGUUAUCCGGAAUGAUUGGGCGUAAAGGGUGCGUAGGCGGCCUGCUAAGUCUGGAGUGAAAGGUACCGGCUCAACCGGUACAGGCUCUGGAAACUGGC